rnacentral:misc_RNA from 1 species
AGUCGUAACAAGGUAUCCGUAGGUGAACCUGCGGAUGGAUCAUUAUAGGGUGUUGGGUAAUUGUGAGUGGUUUUAUUAGUAGUUUGAGCGGUGUUGGUUGGGAUGCGAAGCAGGAUUGCCAAGCAGGAUUGCCAAGCAGGAUUGCCAAGCAAGACAGCCAACAUUGCCUCACGUUAAACUCUAUAAAUCUAACAAUUACAUACAAAAAAAAACAACUUUUAGCAACGGAUCUCUUGGCUCUC